rnacentral:rRNA from 1 species
UACGAGGGGGGCAAGUGUUGUUCGGAAUCACUGGGCGUAAAGGGAGCGUAGGCGGGCUUUUAAGUUAGGUGUUUAAUCCCGGGGCCCAACCCCGGACCGGCACCUAAAACUGGGAGUCUUGAAUAGUGGAGAGGUCAGUGGAAUUGGGGGUGUAGCGGUGGAAUGCGUAGAGAUCCCCAAGAACACCAGUUGCGAAGGCGGCUGACUGGACACAUAUUGACGCUGAGGCUCGAAAGCAUGGGGAGCAAACAGG